rnacentral:rRNA from 1 species
UGGGGAAUUUUGGACAAUGGGCGAAAGCCUGAUCCAGCAAUGCCGCGUGUGUGAAGAAGGCCUUCGGGUUGUAAAGCACUUUUGUCCGGAAAGAAAUCCUUGGCUCUAAUACAGUCGGGGGAUGACGGUACCGGAAGAAUAAGCACCGGCUAACUACGUGCCAGCAGCCGCGGUAAUACGUAGGGUGCAAGCGUUAAUCGGAAUUACUGGGCGUAAGCGUGCGCAGGCGGUUUGCUAAGACCGAUGUGAAAUCCCCGGGCUCAACCUGGGAACUGCAUUGGUGACUGGCAGGCUAGAGUAUGGCAGAGGGGGGUAGAAUUCCACGUGUAGCAGUGAAAUGCGUAGAGAUGUGGAGGAAUACCGAUGGCGAAGGCAGCCCCCUGGGCCAAUACUGACGCUCAUGCACGAAAGCGUGGGGGAGCAAACAGGAUUAGAUACCCUGGUAGUCCACGCCCUAAA